CAAGAUAACACCCCUACACAAUUAUCGCCGAAUAAUUGUGCGAAUUCGGGUUCCCGAAAGUGUCUAUUUCGACACUGGAACCCACCGUCGCUCACCCAUCAUCACCGAACCCACAAUGUGAUGAUGGUGACCCGCCAACAAGGCUUAGCGACUACUCACAGGGCAACACAACAACGUCGGAAGAAAUCCGAACCGAAACCACGUUCUUUCGGCGAAUUUCGUCGAAAAACGCGCCGGAAUCGACUUUUCGAUUUCCGCGAAAGC
rnacentral:lncRNA from 1 species